GAGAUACAUAGGGUGAGAAACGGAGGCCUUCAGCCAACAGCUGGGAGAAGCUGAGUCCCAUCAGCCAUUCAAAAGACUGCAGCCCCAGCCAAGAGUUUGAUGUAACCUCAGGAGAGACCCUGAGCCAGAACCACCUAGAAAUCUCCAAGUGAGAAGACCUUACUUGUCUUCUGAAAGUCUGGCCAACGAGCUAUACCUAGUGAUUCCAAAGUCCACAUAUAUUUACUCUGUUCUCACUGUACAAAGUAACCACUCUGAAGUCAAAAAAGCUGGGAUACAUGAAGACUGCCAUCCCUUGAGUCACUUGCCCUGUAGCUGCCACUGUUGGAAAAGGGCUUGCUUCUGUGUCCUUGUGCCCACUUUGAAAAUCCCUGGGAAGUCCUUGGAGUCAGAUGAGCAGGCCUCCGCCACUCUGCCAAAAAGUCUGUUCAGAAGUUUCACAUCACUAGAGAAGAGAGAAGAAGGACAUUUGUACUGGGAGGAGUCGACCGGUCCCAGUAAGGAGAAAGUAGCUACAGCGUCAUGGGUGAGCUGGGUCCCCCAAAAAGGAACUUUAAGGGAAUGGACUGAAUCAAGUCUGAGAUGUCCCCAAAGCAAGACCAAAGAACUGAGGAAGAGAAGCAUUCAUCAGAAACCAAAAUUCAGCUACAAGUGAGCAUCCAGAUGGAGGUAUUAUGAAGAGGAACUGAGACUGAGGGCAAAAGGUGCCAGCCAGAAUCCUGGAUAGGAGAGCAAGAACCAGGACCUCAUUUAAGAGACAACCUGCUUAAGGCAGAGUAAGGGUAUUUUUCCUCUGGAAAUGAGCUGACUAGGCACGCUACUUCUACUUGAAAAAGACUGAUGCUUGUCUUACACCAUUUUGAGGUCACCACAGUACAUGACUCAGAAUCAUUAGACAAAUGUUGAUUGAAUAUCUCCUACAUUCCAAAUACUGUGUUGAAUGUGGUUAAAGCAUUAAAUGUUAAUGGAAU
ensembl:lncRNA novel transcript